rnacentral:rRNA from 1 species
GCCAACCAGCUAGCUUAAUUACUAAUAUAAUUCAACUACAUUUAUAACAAAACAUGACCUAACACCACAAACUAAACCAUUUUUUUACCUGAGUAUGGGAGACAGAAAAG